rnacentral:rRNA from 1 species
AGUGAACGCUGGCGGUAGGCCUAACACAUGCAAGUCGAACGGCAGCACAGUAAGAGCUUGCUCUUACGGGUGGCGAGUGGCGGACGGGUGAGGAAUACAUCGGAAUCUACUUUUUCGUGGGGGAUAACGUAGGGAAACUUACGCUAAUACCGCAUACGACCUACGGGUGAAAGCAGGGGAUCUUCGGACCUUGCGCGAUUGAAUGAGCCGAUGUCGGAUUAGCUAGUUGGCGGGGUAAAGGCCCACCAAGGCGACGAUCCGUAGCUGGUCUGAGAGGAUGAUCAGCCACACUGGAACUGAGACACGGUCCAGACUCCAACGGGAGGCAGCAGUGGGGAAUAUUGGACAAUGGGCGCAAGCCUGAUCCAGCCAUACCGCGUGGGUGAAGAAGGCCUUCGGGUUGUAAAGCCCUUUUGUUGGGAAAGAAAAGCAGCAGGUUAAUACCCCGCUGUUCUGACGGUACCCAAAGAAUAAGCACCGGCUAACCUCGUG